rnacentral:lncRNA from 1 species
GCUUUGUAUAUGGGAGGACAGGUUCGUAUUGACCUGAAAUCAUUUUAUUUUAUUUUCAUUUUUAAAAUUAUUUAAUCUAUGACCAACAGUUUUAAACAAUUGAGACACAUGGUACUUUACUGAAAAUAUCUAGUCCCCUUGGCCCAUGAUGCAUCCACAGCUGGCUAGAAGUCUCUCAAUCUAGGCCUGUGCUUUCUUGUGGGUCACUGGCCUCUGUUUAAAACUCAGAGCAAUGAUGACUAGGUGAUACACAUCCAGGAUGUCCAAAGGCUCCUGAACUCCCAUAUUCUCCAGAAUAACUAUCCCCCACCAUUGCACUGGUGAGACUAGGGACAAUAAGAAGUUAAUCCGCCUUUAUUGAGGGCCUGCCUAUACUGGGUUUGUUGGGCUAGCCAUGUUCAUCUGCCCUGGCAGAGGCUCAAUCAUCGCCUGCUGCCAGGCAUACUGUCAACCAGUUUGGCCUGCUCAGUGGAGGGUAUGGUGGUGUCUUCUGGCUUUUGCUGCUGGCUGGCAAAGUUGUUAGGGCCCAGGAAUCAGCCUUACUUCUUGGCAUAGUCUGUCAUCUUUUUGGGUGUGUUGAAGAAGAGGAUCUAGGUAGCCUCAGCAAAAAGGAUCAAAUCAGUAAAUAGUGCCCUUCCUCCUGAAGCUAUUUUCUAUCACAAAGUGAGUUGUGCUAACUUAUUUUAUUGGUUAUUACAAGAAUUUCCUUGAAGAACUUGACUGUUGAUUAAAGCCAGAAAGUUUUAGAAAUCCUACUGAUUGAAAAAAAAUGGGGAGCAUGGGUAAGGAAACAAACUGAUGAUGCUGUAAAUUUACCUAGUGACCAAGUAGAAACCAAACAUUCAUACAUACAUAGAAACCAAACUGUAUCAAGUUAUCCUCAGCGGUCACUGUAUAUGUUAGGUGGACUCAAACAGACUGAUUUUCCUGCCUCUCUGCCUUCAGAGUGCUGGAAUAAUAGACAUGUUUUUUGUCGUCGUUAUUUUUGUUUUUGUUUUUUGGAUAGGGUUUCUCUCUCUGUGUAACAGCCCUGGAACUAACUUUGUAGAUCAGACUGGUCUAGAACUCAUAGAGAUCCACCUGCCUCUGCCUCCUGAGUGCUGGGAUUAAAGACAUGUCCCACCACAUCCUGCUAUGUUUACCAUUU